GUAUAAACUGAUGCUUCAAUGUUGGGACGCAAAGCCAGACAACCGUCCAACAUUUCAUGAAAUGAAAAUGUAUCUUGAAAACGAUAAGGUACGUUGAAUGAUAAGGUCGAUAAGGUACGUUCAAGACUACAACUAUAUUUUGUAUUUCCAUUUUUCUUUCAGUCUCUCAUUGAUGUGCCUCUUAACAUUAACACAUGAUCAACGAUACAGUAAAAUCAGCAGCAUAAAGGCAUGAUUUUGUAUUAUAUUGAUUAGAAGUAAUCCGUGUAUGGAUCUAUAGCUUUAAGUUAUUUUGUUUAAUUUUUGCUGACUAGUCAUAGGCUAAUAAUAAAAAUUAAAAAAUAGUGAUGUGCGUUGUGACAAUAUCAUAUGACAUAUUUUCCAAUCAAUCAAACAUCAUUGAAAUGCGUCAGGAUUUCUCUGUCGUCAUAUUUGUGGAUAAAAUGAUUCAUAACUACCUUUGGUAAUUUCAUUGUUCUUCGUGUUAAAAAGAAAAAGAAGAGUAUUUCUGAACAUCAAAGAACAUAGUUAUAUCAAGGUCAUAGAUAUGUCUGAAUGUCAUAUCUUCGUCACAUCACUGUCACAGUAAAAUAGAUUUUGUCAGUUUGAUAUCAUGGCUAUUAUAUGUGAAGUUAAUUAUUAAAGAAUGUGUUAGACGCAUCGUAGAAGUUUGAAAAAUAUUAUAGUUGAUAAAGUACUUCUUAACUGAUCUUCCGUUACAAAUAAAUUGUUCUUCAAGG